GAUGAACGCUGGCGGCGUGCCUAAUACAUGCAAGUCGAGCGAACGGACGAGAAGCUUGCUUCUCUGAUGUUAGCGGCGGACGGGUGAGUAACACGUGGAUAACCUACCUAUAAGACUGGGAUAACUUCGGGAAACCGGAUCUAAUACCGGAUGAUAUUUUGAACCGCAUGGUUCAAAAGUGAAAGACGGCCUUGCUGUCACUUAUAGAUGGAUCCGCGCUGCAUUAGCUAGUUGGUAAGGUAACGGCUUACCAAGGCAACGAUGCAUAGCCGACCUGAGAGGGUGAUCGGCCACACUGGAACUGGGACACGGUCCAGACUCCUACGGGAGGCAGCAGUAGGGAAUCUUCCGCAAUGGGCGAAAGCCUGACGGAGCAACGCCGCGUGAGUGAUGAAGGUCUUCGGAUCGUAAAGCUCUGUUAUUAGGGAAGAACAUAUGUGUAAGUAACUGUGCACAUCUUGACGGUACCUAAUCAGAAAGCCACGGCUAACUACGUG
rnacentral:rRNA from 1 species